CCCCCCUUAGUUUAGUGGCUAGAACGCUCGGCUGUAGACCGAGAGAUCCCCGGUUCAAAUCCGGGAGGGGGGA
rnacentral:tRNA from 1 species